UACGUAGGGUGCAAGCGCUAAUCGGAAUUACUGGGCGUAAAGCGUGCGCAGGCGGUUCGUUGUGUCGGCGGUGAAAGCCCCGGGCUUAACCUGGGAAUGGCCGUUGAAACUGGCGAACUGGAGUGUGGCAGAGGGGGGUGGAAUUCCGCGUGUAGCAGUGAAAUGCGUAGAGAUGCGGAGGAACACCGAUGGCGAAGGCAGCCCCCUGGGCUAACACUGACGCUCAGGCACGAAAGCGUGGGGAGCAAACAGG
rnacentral:rRNA from 1 species